rnacentral:tRNA from 1 species
GGGUAUAGCUCAGUGGCAGAGUGUGUGCUUAGCAUGCACAGGGUCCUGGGUUCAAUCCCCAGUACUGCCA